GAGAGAAAGCCAGGCUGGUUUGUGUGGCCUCCUCCGCUGAACCUCAGGGAAAAAGCGACGUCUUCCGCCCCGCUGUUUUUUCAGUUUUUCAGAUGAUGGUCCAUCUCUGCAUUAAGUACAGGCGACAUUUCCUGCUCUUAUGUGACCAUUGUGCCCUGGAGGAUUCAGUGUUGGAGUUAACUGCUCAUGCAGACAAGAAACUCAGCAUGUUCCUGCACUGUCAGUGUGCAAAGGAUGGAGCACAGCCGUGAUCCAAAGCUGGCUUCAGAGUGGUUGAGCCUCCACCUUCACUCCAAGUGCCUGCACUGGCCAGUGCCUGAUUUGGACAGCACUGGUGAGAACCAUUGUGAAUUUUACCCCUUCUUGGUAAGGUACACAAAGUAUUCAUGUUUCCUGUCCUUGCUACAACUGAGCACUGGGAAAUCUUUAAAGCUUCUAUCUUGCCAUGACUUCCAUGAGGUAGGAAGUCUCAAUUGCUUGGAAAAUGGGGAGAUAGUUUCUCUGUGUUCUAACUCAUGUAGGGACACUGUUACAGAGCAAAAGACUGAUCCUGGAUUUCAGCAGCUCAAGUGUUUUCUGUAGCUUUUAAUCUUUCUUUGGACAGUGACCUUAAAAGCUGCCUCAGGAGCAUUUCAGAGGAUACUUGGCAUCAGAGUCCCUCUCUGUGUCCAGAAGUUUUAUCCUGGAUCCAAGUGCAUCGUUGUCAGUAUUGAUGAAGCAUUUUACAAUGAAACCCCCUGUUUAAAAAGAGAAAACCAAACCAGCCCCUAUUUGUUACAGGAGAUCUGUGUUGCUCAGGAUAACCCUUACCUUGCCUUCUGACUGGCCCUUGGAGCUCUGGCCUACAAAUUGGUCCUGGAAUAACUUCUGGUCCUCUGGGCCUGCUGGAUCUUCUGAUCUGGUUGUCACAGCUUUCCUCAGCAGCUUGUACAAUGCUCCCGUGCGUCUUGUGCAUUGUGAGAUUGGUGGCAAAAUUGUGAUGUGGAGCUAGAAUUAAGGAAAGCAUUCUCAAAAAGCCCUAGAAACUUUCCUGGUUUCAUGGUUCAUUAGAGACUUUAAACUCUUGCCAUGCAUGUUGAAAGAUUUGCUUAAGUCAAUGAAGGCUUUUGAGUGAACUUCAUCAGGCAAAAUUGGUGGUUCCUCUGAGAAUCCAGAAGAACAUUACCAGUUUCAAGCAGCUUUUGCUCUGAGAUUUCUUUGAUUCAUUUGGAGCUGACACAGUAGAGCUGUGGAGCAACAUGAGAGAAAAUACUUAAAUGAUCUACAAAGCAAAACCACAGAAUUUUGUGAAGUUAUCAUUAGAGCUGUGUUGAAAACUAGAUGGUUUUUUGAAAGGAGCAGGGAAAUACGACACGAAGGUCUGCAAAACUGCCUUACUUUGAUUGCCACAGAAAGAAGCUCAGAGCCUGCAAACUCCACCAACUGCUAAGUGUCAUCAGAGAACUCAGACCAGCCAUUAUUCCUACAGCAACAUGUGCAACCUCCUAGUCCUGAGCCAGAUCCUAUGUGAAGAAAUAAACAAUUGGAGCAGUCCUUGUCUUGGAAGGCUGAAAGGGCACAGAAGAGAUUUUUCAAGAACUUUGUUAUACAAAAUUUAUCGAAAAUCAUUUGUAUCUUUAAUCUGCUUUGAAAAUCUUAGCUGUAGAAAGCUGAUAACAUUUGAUAUCUAAAAAUGAGGGUGCUUGAGAAAAUGUAGGAUUAAAAUGGACUUUAUGUACACACAGACCUGAGGCAUUUUCUUUGGGUCCUCCUUUGCAAGCUAUGCCUGCAGUACUCCUAAUGCUGUAAUUUCAAAUAUUUCAGUGACCACCUUCUGAAGAUUUCCCAUGGAUUCCAGUCCUGGUACUUCUGUGUUAUUUUGAUUUUACUGUUUCAGUGUCCCUGUGUGUCUCCUGGGCAGGUUUGCCUGACCAGAUGUCCAUACUGAAUGACACUCGAAGAUUCCCAAGAUGCCUGUGUUGUUCUUUUCCUUUCUUCUUUUCCAGUUGAGAACUUUCAUCAGCCCAGAGGUGACUGCAGAUACAGGAGCAUAGGAACGUGAGGCAACUGAAUUACAGCACCUGUGAUACUGGAGUGGCUUUUUCAAAUGGGUGUACUACUGACUUUGGCUUUUUUUCCUUAUCCAGAAGAAAAUUACUUUUCCUGUGGAGAAAGCCCAUCUUUCAGCUUGCUGUACCCCAAGAGAUGCAUGUGGAAGGGUAUUUUACUCUGGAAAUGAUUCUUACCCACAAGAAUGGUGGGACAUGGCUUCAACUGGUUUCCAUUUCUUUCAGAAUUGCCACCCCUUGCAUUCAGUGCUUGAAACCAAGACGAGCUUGUGGAAACAGCUCUUGCUGUUUUCUGUCUUUGCAGGGCAAGUCAGACAAGGGGAAACACACCUCUUAGGAUUCCAUCUAGAAUCCCAUAAGAUUUAAUUCUCAUCUGGCCAAAUCCUCCCCUGAAUUAAUCCCCACCACCCAGGGAAGUCAGUGGAAACACACCUGGGCUCCAGGUAUCCUGCUCCAUGCUCAGAGUGCUCAGCUUCCAUCACCGGGCAUGGCAGAAGCACAACCUCCACAUAUAAAACCCUUCCUGAUAUCGCCAGAGCGAGGGGACCACAGCCUUAAAAUCCAAAUUAAAUGAACCUAAUUUCCUCUGAGAUGUUAACGUGCCGUGCUGAUUUCAAGUUAAUCAAAACAGAUGUUUUCGAAAUGCAUCAAACAGGAUGUAGAAAAUUUGGCUAUUUAAUGCAGAUUCAAAGCAAAUUCCUUACAACCACCACGGAAACCAUGGCUGUUUGCUCAGACCUGUGGAGCGAGGCUGUGCUUUUUGAGUGCCACUUGCUGCCUCUGCCCACUGUGGCCUCCAUUCCAUGCACUUAUUUAAAGCUUGGUUAUACAGAGCCACUAAAGAUAGUGGGCCAAACCUUGUUCUUGGGGACAUAAUUAAUGUAUCCUGCCAAUUCCUUAAAUAGAUGCACAUCUUGGAAGAAGACAGUUUGACAUGUGUUUUAUCUCCUCUUCUGGAAGCUUUGCUCUGAAAUUCAGGCAUUUUGUACAAAAUAAUGAUACAAACAGAAUUCAACUGAGGAGUUCAUGUCAAUAUUUUCAGAUUCUUUGUACCUGUAUUUGUUCAGACCUGAUUGUAACCCUUGCAAUUCAAUACUAGCAAGAAACAAAAAAGAGUUGUCUUAUUCCUUCUGAGGUAAAACAAAUAUUAUUUGGUCCACGACAUCCAUUUGUGUUUUAUUAACCUGAUAUUAAAGGAGGUGAAGUCUAGUUAAUGCAACAACAUUUUAGAUGGGGAUAAGUCAGUCUGAAUCCCCCUCUUAAAAUCUUUCAAGGAUUUCAAGGAAAGAAAAAUUUAAGUAGAAGACUUGAUACUUCAGUGUAUAUUACACCCAGUCUGCAGUUUAGUGUUUUUGUUGAUUUUUAUUGCAACUUAAUGAUUCUGGCAGGGCCUAAUGGAGUAGAAUUUGAUCUCUAUGAGCAUUUUUAUAAAAUACUAAGGUAAGCUGAGGAGUUUGGCAUUUCUACUUUUGAGAAUGGAGAGUCCACAACCUCUUUGGACAACCUAUCCCAGAGUCUGAUCACUCUCACAAUAAAAAAAUAAGCAUUUUUCCUAUGGUCAAAGGAAGUUUCCUGUGUUUCAGUUUGUGCCUGUUCCCUCUUGUGCUGUCACUGGGCUCCAGUGAGGAUACUCUGGCCCCCUCUCCUUCCUGCUCUCCCAACAGGUGUUUAUUCCAGGGGAUUGGAUCUUCCUGAACUCUCUUUUCUAGGCUGAACUGUCCCAGUUCUCCUUGUCUCUCCACAUGGGAGAGAGGCUUCAGUCCCUUAAUCAUCCUUGUGACACUCACAGCAGUAAAUCUAUGGGGUUUUUGUGUACUGGGGAGCCCAGAACAAGGGGGGAAGUGUUCCUGAUGAUUCUUUUAUGCUGUCUUUCUUCCAUUACAGAUCUCUCACUCUUCACUUGCCAUUGUAGGCUGAAUCACAUUGGGACACCAUCAAAAGCUCUGCACUGCUGAAGCAGGCUUUUUCCUUUCCUUUUUUUCUAAUUAAAAAAAAUAAUAAAAAUUCUUAUAAGACAGGCCAAAUUAUAUGAGUUUUUGGAAGAACAGACUAUGAAAUGUGGUAUGUUUUUUUUAAAUUGCAGUAUUCUACCAAAAAAGUUACUCAAAAUAGUGUGACAGUAUUCAAUGUUUAUUAAGAUCUGUGAGGAUUUUGUUUUUAGCUAAAAUAAAUGGAGAUAAGUAGUUAUUA